UACGUAGGGGGCAAGCGUUAAUCGGAAUUACUGGGCGUAAAGCGUGCGCAGGCGGUGAUGUAAGACAGAUGUGAAAUCCCCGGGCUCAACCUGGGAACUGCAUUUGUGACUGCAUCGCUGGAGUGCGGCAGAGGGGGAUGGAAUUCCGCGUGUAGCAGUGAAAUGCGUAGAUAUGCGGAGGAACACCGAUGGCGAAGGCAAUCCCCUGGGCCUGCACUGACGCUCAUGCACGAAAGCGUGGGGAGCAAACAGG
rnacentral:rRNA from 1 species